UUUUUCUUCAAAGAAGAUCCUAAAAAAUCUUUCCAUGAAGUUGAUUUUAUAAAGAUAUCUGGAAAUGAUAGUAAAGUGGAUGGUGAAAUAAAGAUUAAGCAAGUGCUAACACUUGAAAAAGAAAAGAUGAUCAACAAAAAGAAAAAUUUAACAGUUAAAAAAAAGUCAUGGAAUAAGUCUAGUAAAGUUGCGUUUAACAAAGAAUUUGCCUUUCACCUUAAAAAUAAUCGUGGAUAUCCAGUGAUGACAAUGGACCAGAUCGAUUAAUGGAAUCCAAUACCAGGUUUACUAUUUGAACAAUAGAAAGAUCUGAAGGACGUUCAUGACAAAAAGCUCCAAAAUGAAGUCAUUCUUGCAAUAAGUGGAAGUUAAAAUCAGUAGGAUAUCGGUCAACAAGUUUUUAUGAACUGCAAGUAAUCUCCAAGAGAUCCAUGCUUCAAAUAUUCACAAGAAAACCAAAGUUAGAAUGUUUUAUCAAAUCCACUUAUUAUUUUGACCGUGAUGUUAUUAUCGUCGGCAAUUAUUAAAGAUCGCCCAGAAAACACUGCAGUUUUAACGCUGUUAAUUUCAUCAUCGUAAUGUCUCUUGCGUGCUUUUGGAAGCCUUUGAACAUAGACAUAUUAAUCCGUGUUGACCAAAAAGACACGGCUUCCUAUUCAUAUAGCUCGAAAUUGAAGCAAACUUGCUGCACGUAUGCUCCAGGGAGAUGUACAGUUCUUCAACGAUACCUAAAUCAAGAUUUACGAACAGCAGUUUUUUGUUAACUUUGUUGAACUUUUCCAUGACUCUGUUCCAAAUGGUUAUUAAAAUAUCUUUA
rnacentral:misc_RNA from 1 species